rnacentral:lncRNA from 1 species
ACUACAAAGAGAAUUAUAAUAUGAAGCGGGGAUAGGAUAUCAAUAUGUAUAGGCAUACUCAGGUUUCCUGUAAAUAUGUAACAGCAAUGUCCUAUAUAUAUUUGGAAAGUUCGACGGGUGGGUGUGCGUGUUGGUAGAGCAUAGGCUCCCCGCGCACUCAGCGCUGUUUACUUGCCUUUUAUAAAUAUUCUUUUAUGUUACUGUUAUAUAUGGAGUGGUAAUUCGUGACGAGAAAAUGGUUGAUAUUAAUAAAGAAGGGGGAGAUUUGGGAAUGUGGCCAUGGGGGUUGGAAAGCCCUGUGGUUGAGAUAACAUUAGACUCUUAACGACGAGGCCAUCAGGAAUAUAAAAGAGUUUAGAGGGAACAAAGAAGGGUGAUUCGGGAGACUCCAUGCAGUCUCUGGUUGCUUGUUCCCCAGCUGGUUCUCUUGUUCUAUAGCCAUUAAGGCAUGGAUGUUUCUGUGUGUUUGCUGUUGUUGUUACAUUCAAGGUUGUCUGACCAAUGAAAAGUUGUUUUGAAAAGAACUACUGUGGAGAGAAGGGUAUAAGAGGGGAGCCUGCCCUCAAGAAGAAAAAGAAAAAGGCAACACUGCGGAGUUAUGAUCAAUAAAGAAGCAGAAAGAACGAAUGAAGAGGAACAGGCUGGCAGAAUGGAGACCAGGACGGGAACAGGCACUUUGAUUGCCUCAUGAAGAUAGGUUCAGCCAGACUCAGCAAACCACUCAGAGAAGCUCGUACAGAAAGUUGCUGGAAAUAGGCGCACUGGAGAUGGAGAGAAGGCCGAGCUGAGAGAAGCGGACCUGUGCACACAACUGCCCUUUGCUGGGAGGACGACCUAUUUUGGAUCCAGCUCUCACACAGCAAGUUGCAGCUGAAAGGUGUUUUACAUCCAUUGAGCCACGUUCCUCUGUUGGCAGAACAGAUGAGCCCAAUGUUAAUGGUGAAAAUGGUACUGUUUUCAAUGCACAAUUAACCAGGUAAACACUGUGAUGAAUAAAAAAUAAAGCUGGCUUCAGGGAGGACCCAAUGACAGUUCAAAUCAGGUGUCUAGGUGCUUGUGACUCUCAAAACACCCUUAUAUCUGAACAGAUACUGUGUUUUUUUCCCACAUAAGAUCAAAUCACCUGCAUCAAAAGACAGAUCUUGUGG